rnacentral:rRNA from 1 species
UACAGAGGGUGCAAGCGUUAAUCGGAAUUACUGGGCGUAAAGCGUGCGUAGACGGUUAUGUAAGUCGGGUGUGAAAGCCCCGGGCUCAACCUGGGAAUGCCAUUCGAGACUGCAUAGCUAGGGUGCGGAAGAGGGAAGCGGAAUUUCCGGUGUAGCGGUGAAAUGCGUAGAUAUCGGAAGGAACACCAGUGGCGAAAGCGGUUUCCUGGUCCAGCACCGACGUUCAGGCACGAAAGCGUGGGGAGCAAACAGG